AUUGAACGCUGGCGGCAUGCCUUACACAUGCAGGUCGAACGGCAGCAUGAUCUAGCUUGCUAGAUUGAUGGCGAGUGGCGAACGGGUGAGUAAUACAUCGGAACGUGCCCUGUAGUGGGGGAUAACUAGUCGAAAGAUUAGCUAAUACCGCAUACGACCUGAGGGUGAAAGUGGGGGACCGCAAGGCCUCAUGCUAUAGGAGCGGCCGAUGUCUGAUUAGCUAGUUGGUGAGGUAAAGGCUCACCAAGGCGACGAUCAGUAGCUGGUCUGAGAGGACGAUCAGCCACACUGGGACUGAGACACGGCCCAGACUCCUACGGGAGGCAGCAGUGGGGAAUUUUGGACAAUGGGCGAAAGCCUGAUCCAGCAAUGCCGCGUGUGUGAAGAAGGCCUUCGGGUUGUAAAGCACUUUUGUCCGGAAAGAAAUGGCUCUGGUUAAUACCUGGGGUCGAUGACGGUACCGGAAGAAUAAGGACCGGCUAACUACGUG
rnacentral:rRNA from 1 species